rnacentral:rRNA from 1 species
CCUACGGGAGGCAGCAGUGAGGAAUAUUGGUCAAUGGACGAGAGUCUGAACCAGCCAAGUAGCGUGAAGGAUGACUGUCCUAUGGGUUGUAAACUUCUUUUAUCUGGGAAUAAAAUGUUCCACGUGUGGGCUUUUGUAUGUACCAUAUGAAUAAGGAUCGGCUAAAUCCGUGCCAGCAGGCGCGGUAAUUCGGAGGAUCCGAGCGUUAUCCGGAUUUUUUUGGUUUAAAGGGGGCGUAGGGGGGUUGUUAAGUCAGUUGUGAAAGUUUGCGGGUCAAACGUAAAAUUGCAGUUGAAACUGGCAGUCUUGAGUACAGGAGAGGUGGGCGGAAUUCGUGGUGUAGCGGUGAAAUGCAUAGAUAUCACGAAGAACUCCGAUUGCGAAGGCAGCUCACCGGACUGCUACUGACACUGAGGCUCGAAAGUGUGGGUAUCAAACAGGAUUAGAUACCCUUGUAGUC